UGCAAAUAAUCUUUACUUUAACAUCAUGCAUGUAUUAUAGAAAAGAGAUGGAAAACAAAGCGCCGGCAAAAUAAUAUCAGACUGAAGGAUCCUGACUGGCGGAGCUCAAAGCUUGACAAUUCAAAAGAUCUUUUUUAGAAAUUUUAUUAGAAUUGUAGAAAUUCUUAAACUUAAUUUUUAUCGAAAGUCCUGACUAUGAUUAUAUUCGAAAUACAAAUAUCCAAAAUUGUAACACGCAUGCAAAACUCACUUUUACCGGACCUCUUCAAUCUCUCUUCAUGUAUUUGACGCAAAAUUUUGGAAUGAAAUUAAAAGCUGACAAUGUCGUUGACAUAAACAAGUAAACUAUGAAGUUGUUAUUGUACUUGUUGUUGUUGUUGUCCUUUCUUUCGUUUUUGUUGUUGUCGCAUUGAACACUUUGCAACGAAACGUGCUCUUUGGGGAAAACGUGUGGAAACAACAGCGACAAAACGAAACAAUGAAAUUUGAAAAGCGAAAAACGAAAACAAUGUCCAAACACAUCAAAGUCAGAGCUGGCGAAGGAUUUUCAUGCAUCCACACUCAAAAAUCACACAAAAUACAGUCGGUAAUUCCCUAGACCUAGAUACCCUGCUACAAAAACGUAAAACAUUCGAAAUAUGUUGAAAAAUACGAGGAACCAAAUAGAAAAUCUGGCGACUCAGGCUUACAGUCUCGAGGGCAUGACUGAAAUGUCUAUUAAUCGAUAUUUAUCGAUAAAAAAAUCAUGUGGGGCAGGUAUUGAGAAACAAGAUAAAUGUAUGUUAUGAGGAUUAUUCUGAAAUGUCGACUGACUUUCGACUAUGCGAGAAACCACUAUUUAGAAAUCGAAUGUUUAAAAAAACCUAUUUAGAAAUCGAUAUUUAUCGAUAUGUAUCGAUAUUAAAGUAUCGAUAACAUUCGUAUAUGGCGUUAAACAACUAUGCCACGUUUUACAGGGUACCAAAUGAAGAAGACAAAGCCCGCGAAAUGCCAGCAAGUGGCAAAACAUACUGAAGGUAGACGUCGACGUGCAGGGGGGGAUUGUGAGGACUUUGGCUCGAGUAUUGGCAAAAGUAAAAGCAAAAUGGCGGAAAAAAGUGCAGUUGUUGCAACACAAAGACAACAACAAAAAAUGGAAAACGAUGUCAAAUGCAAAUUGACAGCUUUCAAUAUCAAUUCCAAAACAAUCGCAGCACACGCGAGUCAUAGUGGGCGAGUGGGCGGGGGCGGGGGCAAGCCAGGUAGACAGGUAGAGGAAAAUCAAUUUGAUGGCCAUGUCAACUGCACAGGAAAAUGAAACCAAGUUAAAAUACACAAUGCUGGCUUUAAAUGUGAAACGAAAUGAGAAGGUGAACAGGGUGAACAGGUCGAACAGCAUUUCAUGUAAGACCGAACGCAACGGAGGCCAAGAACCUUAACAAUGGGCAUAUGGCAACGUUAUGACAAGCGGCAUGGCUGCGACGAGCAUGCACGACUAACAGAUGACCUGGAAUCAGCAAAAUACCAAGCGAAGAGCAAGGCACAAGACUUGUAAUUACCAAAGAGUUAAAGCAGUUAAAGCUAAAGCAGCGCAAAAGCUAGACACCCAAUUAUACCCGUACAAGCACGGGGUAUGCCAAUUGACAAAGGCAUGGAUGCACGACUAACAGUUGACCAAAACAUACAUUGAUAAGCAACGCACAAGACUUGGGUCUAUAAUUCCCAAAGAGUUAAAGUUAUAUUGAUAAGCAAAGCAUAAGACUUGUGCUUAUAAUUCCCAAAGAGUUAUUGCAGCAAUUGCUCGUCUCCCAAAUAUACCCUCUGUGCGCUCUAGCACAGGGUAAACAAAGUAUGAGCACAGCGCUGAGCAAGAGAAACGCAACGUAUUGAUUUUUGCCAAGAAUUCGACCAGCGAUCCACCGCACCAGAACCGCUCGGGGACUUGGCCAAUCCUUGGCCAAAGGCAAUGGAGAAAGGCAGCGAGCCGUGGAUUUGUAAUUACGGGAUUAGUCCUUCAAUGGCAAUGAGAUUGGCAGUUUUUAUGAUUUGCAAUGCCAACCAGUCGACAGGCUAAUAGUUGCCCCUUCCCAACCAACCCCAACCCGCCAGAUAGCCACGUGACCUGUUUGCCUGUACGGGGGGUCAGGGGUUAAGGGACAGCAGCAAAAGCAAACAAAUUCAAGCAGCCACAAGAAAUUAUAAGUUGUUCGUCAAAUUUGUUAGCAAAUCGCUUAAACAAAUCGUCAAAAGAAACAUACACAAAUCAAAUCAAAUGGGCUGCAGUUUUGUUAGGAAAACAAAAUAGAAAAUAUAGAGAAAAAUUAAAAGGCAACACCUCCACCCCCUCCCUAGCCCACCACGCUGUGUCAAAGCCAACGCAAUGCUGCUUUCCGUUCGAGUGCUUUGCGGGCUCUAAAGCCACGCAGUCGCCCAGCCAUAACGAAUAUGGGCGUGGCAGCGGCAGUAGCUG